rnacentral:lncRNA from 1 species
UCAUGAUUCUCAAGAAUCCUGCUGACUUGUUCAUUAAACAGAACUGGCAACUGACUCCUAAGAUAAAAAUUCUUGACAGCUUUCCAAGCAGAAGGAAGGAUGCUGAGUGACACAUAUAAAUAUAUAAGUGAGAAGGAAGGGUGAGCUCCAAUGGCAGUGACGUUUUCCGGAGCAGUUUAUGGAAGAGGUAAUCGUUGUAAGACACUACAUUGCAUUCUGGAGAAUUUGUUCACCACUGAGCAACAGUUCAACUACUAGCUUCAUCUGUACUACAGAGACUUUGGGAAAAUUUCUUGAAGACCCUUUUUUAAUGGGAAUAACCACUUCCAUUAUUUUAUCUCUGGGUAUUCUGUGAGUAUCUGUUGUCUCAAUAAGUAUUUCUAUAUCGUGUAUGUUAUGUAUAUUAAAAAAAACCCUUGAGUUCUUCAGAUGAAAUCUAUAAUGCAAAUAAAUGACAUUCAAAAUUUAGCUAUUCUAAAGAUAUUAACUUCUAAGGUAAUGGUAACUUUAACUAAGGUUAAACGUAACUUCUAAGCAGUGACUACCAUUUUUCUAUUUUUUUCAGAAUAAAUUCAUCUCAAAAUCUACAUUACAAUAAAUUAUCUCAAUAAUCCAUUUUCCUAUUUUUGAUUCAAUUACAUAAUUAAAAAACAUUUUAGUUAGACAUUUGAAGAGAGAAAAAAUAUUGUAAUAAACCCUAUGUCUUCUCAGGUUUUAAAAAAUCAAUAUGAAUUGUUAGUAUUAAAAAUGUUUGGAAUGCGUACUUUGAAAUAAAAUUUUUGAAAAAAGUAUUGACAUGUAAUGUUUAAAAGUCAAACUUUCUGUGGAAGUAACAUUAACAUCCAUAAUCAAUCAUUAAUACUAUGAUAGUGAGCCUUAUUUUUAUUUAACAACAUUUAAUCGUUGUUGUCUGCCACCAAAUUCUGCAUUUU